UACGAAGGGGGCUAGCGUUGUUCGGAUUUACUGGGCGUAAAGCGCACGUAGGCGGAUCGAUCAGUCAGGGGUGAAAUCCCAGAGCUCAACUCUGGAACUGCCUUUGAUACUGUCGAUCUGGAGUAUGGAAGAGGUGAGUGGAAUUCCGAGUGUAGAGGUGAAAUUCGUAGAUAUUCGGAGGAACACCAGUGGCGAAGGCGGCUCACUGGUCCAUUACUGACGCUGAGGUGCGAAAGCGUGGGGAGCGAACAGG
rnacentral:rRNA from 1 species